CCUACGGGAGGCAGCAGUGAGGAAUAUUGGUCAAUGGGCGGGAGCCUGAACCAGCCAAGCCGCGUGAAGGAAGAAUGUACUGCGUAUCGUAAACUUCUUUUGUCAGGGAACAAAGGCGAGGAUUAAUCCUGGUAUGAGGGUACCUGAAGAAAAAGCAUCGGCUAACUCCGUGCCAGCAGCCGCGGUAAUACGGAGGAUGCGAGCGUUAUCCGGGUUUGUUGGGUUAAAAGGGGGCGCAGGCGGCAGGUUAAGUCAGGGGGAAAAGUCCGGGGCUCAACCCCGUCGUGCCGUUGAGACUGGCGGGCUGGAGUAGGAGAGAAGUACGCGGAAUGCGCGGUGUAGAGGUGACAUGCUUAGAUAUCGCGCAGAACCCCGAUUGCGAAGGCAGCGUACCGGCUCCACACUGACGCUGAGGCACGAAAGCGUGGGUAUCGAACAGGAUUAGAUACCCUUGUAGUC
rnacentral:rRNA from 1 species